rnacentral:rRNA from 1 species
AGGACGAACGCUGGCGGCGUGCUUAACACAUGCAAGUCGAGCGGAAAGGCCCUUCGGGGUACUCGAGCGGCGAACGGGUGAGUAACACGUGAGCAACCUGCCCUUGGCUCUGGGAUAGCCUCCGGAAACGGGGAUUAAUACCGGACAUUCACUUUCUCCUGCAUGGGGGUUGGUGGAAAGUUUUUCGGCCAGGGAGGGGCUCGCGGCCUAUCAGCUUGUUGGCGGGGUAACGGCCCACCAAGGCGACGACGGGUAGCCGGCCUGAGAGGGCGAUCGGCCACACUGGGACUGAGACACGGCCCAGACUCCUACGGGAGGCAGCAGUGGGGAUAUUGCACAAUGGGCGCAAGCCUGAUGCAGCGACGCCGCGUGGGGGAUGAAGGCCUUCGGGUUGUAAACCCCUUUCACCAGGAGCGAAUUCGAGACGGUACCUGGGGAAGAAGCGCCGGCUAACUACGCGCCAGCAGCCGC